GCGGGAGUGGCGGAAUUGGUAGACGCGCUGGAUUUAGGUUCCAGUAUCCUCAGGAUGUGAGAGUUCAAGUCUCUCCUCCCGCACCA
rnacentral:tRNA from 2 species